rnacentral:rRNA from 1 species
GACGUAGGGCGCGAGCGUUGUCCGGAUUUAUUGGGCGUAAAGAGCUCGUAGGCGGUUCGUCGCGUCGGCUGUGAAAUCCCGAGGCUCAACCUCGGGUCUGCAGUCGAUACGGGCGGACUGGAGUUCGGCAGGGGAGACUGGAAUUCCUGGUGUAGCGGUGAAAUGACGCAGAUAUCAGGAGGAACACCGGUGGCGAAGGCGGGUCUCUGGGCCGAUACUGACGCUGAGGAGCGAAAGCGUGGGGAGCGAACAGG